rnacentral:rRNA from 1 species
UCCAGACUCCUACGGGAGGCAGCAGUGGGGAAUAUUGCACAAUGGGGGAAACCCUGAUGCAGCAACGCCGCGUGAGUGAAGAAGUAUUUCGGUAUGUAAAGCUCUAUCAGCAGGGAAGAAGAUGACGGUACCUGAGUAAGAAGCCCCGGCUAACUACGUGCCAGCAGCCGCGGUAAUACGUAGGGGGCAAGCGUUAUCCGGAUUUACUGGGUGUAAAGGGAGCGUAGACGGUGAGACAAGUCUGAAGUGAAAGCCCGGGGCUCAACCCCGGGACUGCUUUGGAAACUGCCUGACUGGAGUGCUGGAGAGGCAAGCGGAAUUCCUAGUGUAGCGGUGAAAUGCGUAGAUAUUAGGAAGAACACCAGUGGCGAAGGCGGCUUGCUGGACAGUAACUGACGUUGAGGCUCGAAAGCGUGGGGAGCAAACAGGAUUAGAUACCCUCGUAGA